rnacentral:lncRNA from 1 species
UUUUUUUUUUUUUUUUUUUGAAGUUAUCAUAGACUUCACCGCUCAUAGUCUCCAAAUUUAUCUAACAUUAAUUACAUUUCAAUCUUCUAAGUCUUUCUCUUGAAGCUGGACUCUGCUAUAUCCCUCACUAACUUUUCUGUUUGUCAUCUGUAUCAUAAUAAAAAAGAAAUAACAAUUUUCCUAAUUUCUGGAUUCUCUGUGGGUUUUUUUUUUUUUGUUUGUUUGUUUGUUUUUGUCUUUUCUGGGGCUGCCCCCAUGGCAUAUGGAGGUUCCCAGGCCAGGGGUCGAAUAGGAGCUGUAGCCACCGGCCUAUGCCAGAGCCACAGCAACUCUGGAUCCAAGCUAUGUCUUAGACCUACACCACAGCUCACUGCAAUGCCAGAUCCUUAACCCACUGACCAAGGCCAGCGAUCGAACCCAUAACCUCAUCAUUCCUAGUGGAUUCGAGCUGUAGUGGCUGGCCUGUGCCACAGCCACAGCAAUGCCAGAUCAGAACCGCAUCUGCAACCUACACCACAGCUCACAGCAAUGCUGGAUCCUUAACCCACUGAGCAAGGCCAGGGAUCAAAAUCACAACCUCAAGGUUCUUAGUUGGAUUCGUUUCUGCUGAGCCAUGAUGGGAAAUCCCCUUUCUUUCUCUUUCUUUCUUUUCCUUCCUUCCUCCCUUCUUUCUUUUUCAGGAAGCAUAGGGAGAAGUGUGUAUCAAAUAGACAUGGAAAGCAGGAUAUUACAGUAAUAAGAUCUUGGGUGUAAGACUUAGCCAUGAAACUUGGACAUAUCAUGUAUCAUCUCUAAACACUAUUUAUAGUAAAAUGAGCCUGGCUUGAUAAGAUUGACGUCAGGCUUAUAUGGGACAAGGCUCAUAGCACUCAGUACAUGUCUAGCACACAGUAACCUUUCAAUAAUUUAGUUAAUGGAUGGCGAAGAUGAGGAUGACAAUGCAGCAUGUAUACAAAGUUGACUUAAAUACUGAGAUUGAAUUAUCAUUCGAACAAAUGAGUAAAAGACACAGAGUAAUUUUAAAGAGGCUUAUAAUGAACACUCACCUUUAACUGCCUCUCGGCUUACUUACCCAGUGCAUAUUUGGUGAUAGAAAAUAUUAGCAGUUGAAAUGACUCAGGAUGCAGACAAGAUCCUGGCAAGCCGGUACAACCCCUUAAUGAUGUGAGGAGGGCCUGCUUAGGCGUUAGAUCCAUAAAAUAGAAACUUUCAGAGUUCCUGUCGUGGCUCAGUGGUUAACCAACCUGACUAGUAUCCAUGAGGAUACAGAUUCAAUCCCUGGCCUCUCUCAGUGGGUUAAGGAUGCAGCAUUGCAGUGAGUUGUGGUGUAGGUCGCAGAUGUGGCUCAGAUCCCACGCUGCUGUGGCUAUGGCAUAGGCUGGCAGCUACAGCUCUGAUUUGACCCCUAGCCUGGAAACUUCCAAAAAGACAAAAAAAAAAAAAAAAAAAAAAGACACUUUCCUAUAACUUCCUACCUGACGAAAGGACCACUAUUUCUGCAAAAAAGUGACUGCUGAUCCAUCCCUGGUAGUUUUACUGGCAGGUACACCCCUGCUCAGCUGCCAUCAGUUGCUGCUAAGCUCACAGCUGUACCUCACUCCAGGGAAUUGCUCUCAGCCCAAAGGAGUUGUGUUGCCCAGAGGUGCCUUAGAGAAUGAGACUGGGGGAGGAGGAAGCCUCUGGUAGCCAAUGCUUGCUGAGAGGGAGAUACAAGCCCUGAUCCCUUGCCUUAGUGUGGCAUGACUCAGGGGAGCCACUCCUGCUCCAGCGCUUCCUUCUGGAAUCCGGCUGAGCCAGAUCCAUGUCUUUGCCUACUUUCUCUUCCUGCACCACACUUCUUCCACACGCCUUACGGGCUUCUCCUGGGAGGUCCCUCUCAGCAAAUCCCUCACACAAGAAUUCCUGUCUCAAGCCUUGUUUCCAGGGGACCUAACCUAAGGAAGCUUCCUAGGAAAUCUACUUCUACAGCUGUUAGGAAUAGAGAUUUCGUGUUGUUCUUCUUUCAGACAAAGGCACAAAACCCUUCACAUGUCCUUGAACACUUUGUGGGUUUUGGUUUUCUGUCCUGUAUGUUUAUUUAGAUCUUGGAGGUUAGUAACCAGCAUAGUUUUGUGCACCUCUUUUAGAUCUAUACAUAUUAAAGACGAGAAACCAAAAGAAAACUUUGGUCCCCUGAGAUAAGUGGGUGGAACAGCAUUUCGGGGCUUUUCUUAACACAGCUUCUACCAUUCAGGGUGAAGCUCUGACAAGCAUAUAUUAGUUAAAACACAAUAACCUGAAUUUCAUCCUAACUUAACUUUUAUUUUCCACAGUGCUGCUGGAGAUAGGAUGGUGAGUUAAGCUUCAGUAGCUGAAGACACGUGUUAGAUCAUGAAUUUGAAAGGGGAGCGUUUACGUGCCUAAAUACAACUCAUUAUUUAAUAACUUUAUAAAUUUGGGGGAAAAUAUGCCAAUAUUUCAAAGAUCUAUUUCUAAGAAGUAAGAUGAGAGGAAUUGACAUCAAUGGUCAUUUCUUUGCUCUCCUUAACUCAUAAGAACAUGGCUACAAACAAAAUAGCUGGUAUUAGCUAUUGAAGAUCGUUCUCAGUUGGGCAAGUUGUAAACCACAGUUUGACCCUGGAUUUCUAUUCAGUUCCAGACCAUGGCUGCCGCGUCUAUGCUGCAAGGCAACGGGAGACUCUGAAAGAGGGACGGCGCAGCACAACAAAGCACACAAGACUUUUUUCCAUCUAGAA